UAGUCCACGCCGUAAACGAUGGUCACUAGCUGUUCGAACUUCGGUUUGAGUGGCUAAGCGAAAGUGAUAAGUGACCCACCUGGGGAGUACGUUCGCAAGAAUGAAACUCAAAGGAAUUGACGGGGGCCCGCACAAGCGGUGGAGCAUGUGGUUUAAUUCGAUGAUACGCGAGGAACCUUACCAAGGUUUAAAUGUUUAGUGCUUUUUUCUGGAAACAGAAUUUUCCUUCGGGACGCUUUACAAGGUGCUGCACGGUUGUCGUCAGCUCGUGCCGUGAGGUGUCGGGUUAAGUCCCAUAACGAGCGCAACCCCUAUCAUUAGUUGCCAUCAGGUCAAGCUGGGGACUCUAGUGAAACUGCCUACGCAAGUAGAGAGGAAGGUGGGGAUGACGUCAAAUCAGCACGGCCCUUACGUCCAGGGCUACACACGUGCUACAAUGGCCGGUACAGAGGGCAGCCACCACGCGAGUGGGAGCGAAUCUCGAAAGCCGGUCUCAGUUCGGAUCGAAGUCUGCAACCCGACUU
rnacentral:rRNA from 1 species